CCUGUCAUGUCUUAGGCUGCUUAAUCAU
rnacentral:piRNA from 1 species